rnacentral:misc_RNA from 1 species
GCACUCUCACACCUAACCUUUGGGUUUUGUUGUGGAAUUGGGAUGCGCCGAUUUUAAUAGUCGGCACUCCUAAAAUGUAGUUCUUGGCUGUUUCCUACUACAGCAGUUUGGCCUAAUAGUUUUGACUUUUGUCAAAUCUUUGGCUACAUUUGCUUCUGGAAAUCAGUCUUGAUAAUACAGAAAACUCAUUCAAACU